rnacentral:rRNA from 1 species
GACGAACGCCUGGCGGCGUGCCUAAUACAUGCAAGUAGAACGCUGAAGAGAGGAGCUUGCUCUUCUUGGAUGAGUUGCGAACGGGUGAGUAACGCGUAGGUAACCUGCCUUGUAGCGGGGGAUAACUAUUGGAAACGAUAGCUAAUACCGCAUAACAAUGGAUGACACAUGUCAUUUAUUUGAAAGGGGCAAUUGUUCCACUACAAGAUGGACCUGCGUUGUAUUAGCUAGUAGGUGAGGUAAUGGCUCACCUAGGCGACGAUACAUAGCCGACCUGAGAGGGUGAUCGGCCACACUGGGACUGAGACACGGCCCAGACUCCUACGGGAGGCAGCAGUAGGGAAUCUUCGGCAAUGGGGGCAACCCUGACCGAGCAACGCCGCGUGAGUGAAGAAGGUUUUCGGAUCGUAAAGCUCUGUUGUAAGUCAAGAACGGGUGUGAGAGUGGAAAGUUCACACUGUGACGGUAGCUUACCAGAAAGGGACGGCUAACUACGUGCCAGCAGCCGCGGUAAUACGUAGGUCCCGAGCGUUGUCCGGAUUUAUUGGGCGUAAAGCGAGCGCAGGCGGUUUGAUAAGUCUGAAGUUAAAGGCUGUGGCUCAACCAUAGUUCGCUUUGGAAACUGUCAAACUUGAGUGCAGAAGGGGAGAGUGGAAUUCCAUGUGUAGCGGUGAAAUGCGUAGAUAUAUGGAGGAACACCGGUGGCGAAAGCGGCUCUCUGGUCUGUAACUGACGCUGAGGCUCGAAAGCGUGGGGAGCGAACAGGAUUAGAUACCCUGGUAGUCCACGCCGUAAACGAUGAGUGCUAGGUGUUGGAUCCUUUCCGGGAUUCAGUGCCGCAGCUAACGCAUUAAGCACUCCGCCUGGGGAGUACGACCGCAAGGUUGAAACUCAAAGGAAUUGACGGGGGCCCGCACAAGCGGUGGAGCAUGUGGUUUAAUUCGAAGCAACGCGAAGAACCUUACCAGGUCUUGACAUCCCGAUGCUAUUUCUAGAGAUAGAAAGUUACUUCGGUACAUCGGUGACAGGUGGUGCAUGGUUGUCGUCAGCUCGUGUCGUGAGAUGUUGGGUUAAGUCCCGCAACGAGCGCAACCCCUAUUGUUAGUUGCCAUCAUUCAGUUGGGCACUCUAGCGAGACUGCCGGUAAUAAACCGGAGGAAGGUGGGGAUGACGUCAAAUCAUCAUGCCCCUUAUGACCUGGGCUACACACGUGCUACAAUGGUUGGUACAACGAGUUGCGAGUCGGUGACGGCGAGCUAAUCUCUUAAAGCCAAUCUCAGUUCGGAUUGUAGGCUGCAACUCGCCUACAUGAAGUCGGAAUCGCUAGUAAUCGCGGAUCAGCACGCCGCGGUGAAAUACGUUCCCGGGCCU